CAUAUACCUUUUGUAUAAUGGAUUUACAAUAAUUGUAAUUGUUUGUUUAUAAUUUCCUUCCCAUUGUUUUUGUUAAUAAAGAUUAGAUAAAAAAAAAUAAGAUUUUCCUAAAAAGGAAUUUAUAAAAGAAUUAAAACAUUUUAGUAUAAAAAAAAGAACGAUUCUAAAGUAAUGGCGAAUGAAAUAGAAAAAGAAUGAAAAUAAAAGAAUUAUUGACUAAUCAUUUAUAUAAAAAGUACUGUGAAGGAAAUUAUAAACAAACAAUUACAAUUAUUGAUAAUCAUAUACCUUUUGUAUAAUGGAUUUACAAAAUAAAAUGAAGUAAAAUUUAAAAAGUAACUUUAUAAACUUCCUAACUCGAAACCAUAUGAUCUAAUCUUAGAUACUUGAAGAAAUAACUAAUAAAUGUUGAAAAAUUUUUAGAAAAUUUAAGAUUAGCAGCGAAAAACUAAACGAAUAUGGAUAUAGCUAGUUUCUUGUGAAAUUUAUUUAAGUAAAAUGUUAAAAGAAAAACAUAAAGAUUUUAAAUGUAAAGAUUUAAAAUUUAAAAGGAAAAAACCUUAAACUAAAUUUAAUAUAAAAAAAUUAAUUAUUAAUAAUAAAUUUUUAAAAAAUAGAAUUUUGGCUUAGAAACAGCCAUAUUUUAAAGAAAACGUAGUAGUUCACCUUUUUAAAAACAUAAAUAAUAAAUUUAAAUUAAUUUAAAAAAUUUGUAAGUGGUAACAAGAUAUUUUACAAAAGAAAUUGAAAAAUGUAAAAGAAAUAAUGUAAAUAUGAAUAAAACAAAUUUAUUUCCAAAGAAUUCUAUUAAAUUUAUAAAAUAGAUAAAUACAAACUCUAAAUAAAAAAUGAGAAAAAUUGACGAUAAAAAAAAAAAGACAAAUAAAAAAUUGUAUUAUCUAAAAAAAGAGGAAAUUAAAAAAAUAAAAAUUCUAUAUAAGGAACUCGGCAAAAUAAAAUAUCGACUGUUUACCAAAAACAUAGCCAAGAAUAAAAUUCAAGGUGUAACCUGCCCAGUGGUUAAUAAUUAGAAUAAUAAACUUAAAAUUUAACUAAACGGAUGCGGUAUCCUAACCGUAAUAAAGUAGCAUAAUCAUUCGCCACUUAAUUGGUGGAUAGUAUGAACGGUUAAACGAAUAUUUACCUGUCUUAUAUAGAAAAUUAUGAAAUUAAAAUAAUAGUAAAGAUGCUAUUUAAAAUUGUAAGACGAAAAGACCCUAUAGAGCUUAACUAUUUGCUUUUUUAUUAAAAUAAUCAUAGAAAAUUAUAAUAAAAAAAGCUAGGUAGUUUAGUUGGGGCGACUACCUUUUAUUAAUAUCAAAGGUAAACAAAAUAAUUUAUAUAUUUAUUGUAUAAUCCAUCUGUUUAACAAUUACAAAAGUAGGUAAUAAUGACCCGUUAUUAUUAAAAAAGAAAAAUAACGAUUAAUAGAUAAAAGCUACCUUAGGGAUAACAGGAUAAUUUUAAUUUAGAGACCAUAUCAAAAUUAAAGUUUGUCACCUCUAUGUUGAAUUAAGAUAUCCUUAUGAAGCAGAAUUUAUAAAGGGUAGGUCUGUUCGACCUUUAAAAUCUUACAUGAUUUGAGUUCAUUCCGUCGCAAGACAGGAAGGUUUCUAUCUACAAUUAAUAAAAAAGAUCUUUUAGUACGAAAGGAAAAAAGAAUUAAAAAAUAAUUAAAAUAUUUUAAUAAAAUGAAAAAAUAUAAUAAUAAAUUUGAAAUAAAUAGUACUACCCCUAGGGUAUACUAAACCCCAACCCC
rnacentral:rRNA from 1 species